rnacentral:rRNA from 1 species
GCUGGCCGGCGUGCCUAAUACAUGCAAGUCGAACGGACAAGUAAGAGCUUGCUCUUAUGAGUUAGUGGCGCACGGGUGAGUAAUGUAUAGUUAAUCUGCCCCUUAGUGGAGGACAACAGUUAGAAAUGACUGCUAAUACUCCAUACUCCUUCUUAACAUAAGUUAAGUCGGGAAAGUUUUUCGCUAAGGGAUGAGACUAUAUUGUAUCAGCUAGUUGGUAAGGUAAUGGCUUACCAAGGCUAUGACGCAUAACUGGUCUGAGAGGAUGAUCAGUCACACUGGAACUGAGACACGGUCCAGACUCCUACGGGAGGCAGCAGUAGGGAAUAUUGCUCAAUGGGGGAAACCCUGAAGCAGCAACGCCGCGUGGAGGAUGACACUUUUCGGAGCGUAAACUCCUUUUGUUAGGGAAGAACACUGACGGUACCUAACGAAUAAGCACCGGCUAACUCCGUGCCAGCAGCCGCGGUAAUACGGAGGGUGCAAGCGUUACUCGGAAUCACUGGGCGUAAAGGACGCGUAGGCGGAUUAUCAAGUCUCUUGUGAAAUCUAACGGCUUAACCGUUAAACUGCUUGGGAAACUGGUAAUCUAGAGUAAGGGAGAGGUAGAUGGAAUUCUUGGUGUAGGGGUAAAAUCCGUAGAGAUCAAGAAGAAUACCCAUUGCGAAGGCGAUCUACUGGAACUUAACUGACGCUAAUGCGUGAAAGCGUGGGGAGCAA